GUGGAGGUAAAGUGGCAUUCUCGGGAUAUAUAAACCUGCCUGUGUCUCAAACACUCCCAAAUCAACUUGGUUGGCGAACGGCAUCCUGAGUAAUUAAUAAUAUUACAUCAGAUGACUUGAGUUCGCGCACAAUCG
ensembl:snoRNA snoRNA:Psi18S-525f snoRNA:Psi18S-525f